rnacentral:rRNA from 1 species
UACGGAGGGGGCUAGCGUUGUUCGGAAUUACUGGGCGUAAAGCGUGCGCAGGCGGUGAUGUAAGACAGAUGUGAAAUCCCCGGGCUCAACCUGGGAACUGCAUUUGUGACUGCAUCGCUGGAGUGCGGCAGAGGGGGAUGGAAUUCCGCGUGUAGCAGUGAAAUGCGUAGAUAUGCGGAGGAACACCGGUGGCGAAGGCGGCUCACUGGCCCGAAACUGACGCUCAUGCACGACAGCGUGGGGAUCAAACAGG